rnacentral:tmRNA from 1 species
GCGCUUGAUUUUUCCCGAAAAUCCACUAUAAUAUAAUUGCCUGGAAACGGGUGAAGAUGCUGAAUGCUUUAUGCAAUAGGUUUUUUGGACUGGGGGGCGGUACCCCACACCUCCACCAUCUUUACGGGGGUGAAAUAGAUUCGACAGGGGCCGAAAGAUAAAGAGUGUAUCCGGCGUGGUUGCCGUGAAAGACCGAUAAAAACUGAAUGGCGAUACUUUCGCUGCGAACGACAAUGUUCGCUUUGCAAUGGCUGCCUAACUUGGCGUUGAAACCCAUCGGCAAUUGUUGAUUGGUUUCGUUUUGCGAUUGCGGCGCUUUCCCGUGUGCGUGGCACCAGAAACACGGGACU